UUUACGCGAACACAGCUUCCGUGAUGGUAACGCCAGUAAAGUGUAUCCUUUAUUCUCACUAUAGGAGUGCUUAUAUACGAGCGAGACUCCUAAUGAAGCCCCAUGCCACUGGCAGGCUGCUGGAAGCAGCAUCAAGGCAUGAAUCAUGAAGCUCCCUCGCUUUCAACACAGAACGUGCUGGCAAGAGGAGGAAGAAUGAAGGGGAAAUAAUCCAUAAACUGUGCUUUGGUGCGUUUAUUGUUAAGUAUCACAAAUGGGAGAAAUUAAAGGGUUGACUUGCCUCCAA